rnacentral:rRNA from 1 species
UUGAACGCUGGCGGCAGGCCUAACACAUGCAAGUCGAACGGUAACAGGAAGAAGCUUGCUUCUUUGCUGACGAGUGGCGGACGGGUGAGUAAUGUCUGGGAAACUGCCUGAUGGAGGGGGAUAACUACUGGAAACGGUAGCUAAUACCGCAUAACGUCGCAAGACCAAGAGGGGGGACUUCGGGCCCCUUGCCCACGGAUGUGCCCAGAUGGGAUUAGCUAGUAGGUGGGGUAACGGCUCACCUAGGCGACGAUCCCUAGCUGGUCUGAGAGGAUGACCAGCCACACUGGAACUGAGACACGGUCCAGACUCCUACGGGAGGCAGCAGUGGGGAAUAUUGCACAAUGGGCGCAAGCCUGAUGCAGCCAUGCCGCGUGUAUGAAGAAGGCCUUCGGGUUGUAAAGUACUUUCAGCGGGGAGGAAGGGAGUAAAGUUAAUACCUUUGCUCAUUGACGUUACCCGCAGAAGAAGCACCGGCUAACUCCGUG